UCUACUGCUCCACUCACGUUCUAGGCACCUAUGUCUCAGCUAAAUGUAGCCGCAUCCGGGACACAGUUUGUGCCACAUGUGCCGAAAAUUCCUACAACGAGCACUGGAACUACCUGACCAUCUGCCAGCUGUGCCGCCCCUGUGACCCAGGUGAGUGGGGAUGUGCCUGCGCGGGGGCUGGAUCCCCUGGAGCUCGGCCCCUCCCUGAGCCCUCCUGUCUCCCCACCAGUGAUGGGCCUCGAGGAGAUUGCCCCCUGCACAAGCAAACGGAAGACCCAGUGCCGCUGCCAGCCGGGAAUGUUCUGUGCUGCCUGGGCCCUCGAGUGUACACACUGCGAGCUACUUUCUGACUGCCCACCUGGCACUGAAGCCGAGCUCAAAGGUCAGAGGUCCCUGAAGGGCUGGAUGUGAAAAGGAGGCUGGGUGCCAGGGAUCUCAAGUGGGAGCAGGGAAUAUGG
rnacentral:sRNA from 1 species